GACGAACGCUUGCGGCGUGCCUAAGAAAUGCAAGUCGAGCGAGGUUUAGGCUUCGGCCGACGACCUAGCGGCGAACGGUCGCGUAACACGUAAGCAACCUGCCCUAAAGUUGGGGAUAGCCCGCCGAAAGGCGGAUUAAUACCGAAUGUGGAUAUGUAUUCGCAUGUAUAUAUAUCUGAAGCAGCGAUGCGCUUUAGGAUGGGCUUGCGGCCUAUCAGUUAGUUGGUGUGGGUAACGGCCUACCAAGACGACGACGGGUAGCUGGUCUGAGAGGAUGGUCAGCCGGAUUGGGACUGAGACACGGCCCAGACUCCUACGGGGGGCAGCAAUUAGGAAUCUUGCGCAAUGGGCGAAAGCCUGACGCAGCGACGCCGCGUGACUGAUGAAGUCUUUCGAGAUGUAAAGGUCUUUUGUUGGGGACGAAGGGAAGUGACGGUACCCGACGAAUAAGCCCCGGCUAACUACGUGCCAGCAGCCGCGGUAAGUAGCGUACU
rnacentral:rRNA from 1 species